UUACUUUGGGUGUGUUAUGCAUAACUGAUUUCCAUUCAGUAGGAAAUUAAUAUUAGAGUAAA
rnacentral:tRNA from 1 species